GACGAACGCUGGCGGCGUGCUUAACACAUGCAAGUCGAACGGAAAGGCCCUGCGUUUGUGGGGUGCUCGAGUGGCGAACGGGUGAGUAACACGUGAGUAACCUGCCCUUGACUUUGGGAUAACUUUAGGAAACUGGGGAUAAAACAGGAUAGGAGCUCCUGCUGCGUGGGGGGGGUUGGAAAGUUUCGGCGGUGGGGGAUGGACUCGAGGCUUAUGAGCUUGUUGGGGGGGUAGUGGCUUACAACGGCUUUGACGGGUAGCAGGCCUGAGAGGGUGACCGGCCACAUUGGGACUGCGAUACGGCCCAGACUCCUACGGGAGGCAGCAGUGGGGAAUAUUGCACAAUGGGCGGAAGCCUGAUGCAGCAACGCCGCGUGCGGGAUGACGGCCUUCGGGUUGUAAACCGCUUUCGCCUGUGACGAAGCGUGAGUGACGGUAAUGGGUAAAGAAGCAACGGCUAACUACGUG
rnacentral:rRNA from 1 species